AGUGAACGCUGGCGGUAGGCCUAACACAUGCAAGUCGAACGGCAGCACAGUAAGAGCUUGCUCUUACGGGUGGCGAGUGGCGGACGGGUGAGGAAUACAUCGGAAUCUACUUUUUCGUGGGGGAUAACGUAGGGAAACUUACGCUAAUACCGCAUACGACCUACGGGUGAAAGCAGGGGAUCUUCGGACCUUGCGCGAUUGAAUGAGCCGAUGUCGGAUUAGCUAGUUGGCGGGGAAAAGGCCCACCAAGGCGACGAUCCGUAGCUGGUCUGAGAGGAUGAUCGGCCACACUGGAACUGAGACACGGUCCAGACUCCUACGGGAGGCAGCAGUGGGGAAUAUUGGACAAUGGGCGCAAGCCUGAUCCAGCCAUACCGCGUGGGUGAAGAAGGCCUUCGGGUUGUAAAGCCCUUUUGUUGGGAAAGAAAAGCAGCAGGUUAAUACCCCGCUGUUCUGACGGUACCCAAAGAAUAAGCACCGGCUAACUUCGUG
rnacentral:rRNA from 1 species